rnacentral:rRNA from 1 species
AUGGAAUGCAUUUGCAGGCAGAAGCGUGUCCGGCUGUUGUACGAGAAGAAGUGUGCACGGCUGAGGAGCCAGGGCGCCAAUGGUGCGGAGUCGUUCGCCAUCAAGAGGACCAAAGCUGCCAUCAGUGACCACCGGAUCAAGCUCAACAUCUCCCUCGCCUCCGUCAACGCCCUAUUCCAGAGGGUCGUCGCCGUCCAUGAUGAGCCCGCAGCUCGCCGAGCUCAUCCAAAUGCGGGCAAGGAUGUGGCGACUCAUCGGCAACAUGCACUAGGUGAUGUAGCGCAUAGCGGACUAGGCGAGCGUGCUCCUCUCGUUGUGGGCCAUAUGGUUGGAGGGAGGCAUCAAGGGCUCGCUGCUACCGGGGCGGACAAGCGCACAAUUUAUAUUGAUAUAUCUUAUUUUGCCAAACAGCAAGAUAUAUGCUCCUGA